UUGAGAGAGCAUAGAAUGACGGAUGGUUGUGAAUGUGUGAACGUGUCCCUUUCCUUUCCCCAUGUGGUCGUGGGUGAUUGAUCGUAGCUCGGUGCGAUCUGCACCAAGGAAAAGAGAACUCAAAAGCAGAGGACCCCUUGCCGUCUGCGGUGGGGGUGCCCAAUCUGUUGGAGAUUUAUCGGAAUCA
rnacentral:misc_RNA from 2 species